AGUCACGGUGUGAACAAGCAUGGAGUAUUGACGGAAGCAAGGCGGCUGCCUUGCACAUUUACACACACAUUGACACUUGCACAUUUUCCUCCGACUCCCAUCGGCAAAUCGAGAUUUGUAGUUCAGAAAGUCAGCGCACCAACACAUACAUUACUUGAAGUGCCCGUGAGAAUCAAGACAAAACCGGUUUGGAGCGCUAAAAAAUCAUUGGCUACACCCACUUAUGCAAAUGAAGCUGGGACUUCUGGCUGCGUGCUUUACACCUGCAGUGUUGCCAACUCUUCGUGCAUUGAUGGAAGCUAAGAAACACGCUAAGGAAAUCGAUCGGCAAAAUACUGGAUUUUGCAGUAUUUUUUGUUUGUGGUUGGCAUUUGAUAUUAGAAGGGGCAAGCCGAUAAACGGUGCCCUAGAGCGAGAGAAGGGGAAAAUAGAAGCGAGGCUCGAAAACAUUGCGGGAUCCACGAGCCAGCUCACCCACACCCUCAAAAAUGCCAUGCUAUGCCCUUGAACUUGGUUCAAGGGCAAUAGAAGAGAUGAGAUCAGCUGCAGCAAGAGGGACUGCGUAGAGCAGCUACGCUGAACAUGCCGGCAGUGGAAAAAUAAACAUCGGCAGUGUUAGAGUGUUUAGUGUGUGUGACCGUUUAGAAAAAAUUCGGGAAAAAGGAAACAAACAGACCGGCCAAUCUAGAGGACCUUUUUACCCGAAUCUAAAUAAAAAGGCAUAAGUUGUAUCGGCUGGUCUCCCGUAGAUGGGCCAAAAUUACCAUUCGCCGCGGAAUCCUGGUCACACCCCUGCCCGGGCGUGAGCCCGCCACGCCGCCACCGACAAUAAAAUAAUUAAUUCAUGCAUACAUAAACGCAUACAUAAAUAAUUAAU